rnacentral:rRNA from 1 species
UUAAAUUGAAGAGUUUGAUCAUGGCUCAGAUUGAACGCUGGCGGCAGGCCUAACACAUGCAAGUCGAACGGUAACAGGAAACAGCUUGCUGUUUCGCUGACGAGUGGCGGACGGGUGAGUAAUGUCUGGGAAACUGCCUGAUGGAGGGGGAUAACUACUGGAAACGGUAGCUAAUACCGCAUAACGUCGCAAGACCAAAGAGGGGGACCCUCGGGCCUCUUGCCAUCGGAUGUGCCCAGAUGGGAUUAGCUUGUUGGUGGGGUAACGGCUCACCAAGGCGACGAUCCCUAGCUGGUCUGAGAGGAUGACCAGCCACACUGGAACUGAGACACGGUCCAGACUCCUACGGGAGGCAGCAGUGGGGAAUAUUGCACAAUGGGCGCAAGCCUGAUGCAGCCAUGCCGCGUGUAUGAAGAAGGCCUUCGGGUUGUAAAGUACUUUCAGCGGGGAGGAAGGGAGUAAAGUUAAUACCUUUGCUCAUUGACGUUACCCGCAGAAGAAGCACCGGCUAACUCCGUGCCAGCAGCCGCGGUAAUACGGAGGGUGCAAGCGUUAAUCGGAAUUACUGGGCGUAAAGCGCACGCAGGCGGUUUGUUAAGUCAGAUGUGAAAUCCCCGGGCUCAACCUGGGAACUGCAUCUGAUACUGGCAAGCUUGAGUCUCGUAGAGGGGGGUAGAAUUCCAGGUGUAGCGGUGAAAUGCGUAGAGAUCUGGAGGAAUACCGGU